AGGAACAUCAGGAGAUCCCUCUGGAUGAUCUGGAUGAAGACAUGAUGAGCAUCAAAGUGGAAGUGAAAGAGGAAGUAGAAGAGACGUCUGUGGUGGAUGAUGAGUUGUCUGAGGAAAUACCUCCAGAGAUCAGCACAGACGGAUCUAGUCCUCUGCACUCCCCGGACUCUACACAGGACGAUCAGAAGAUCCAUGAGGAUGAUCAGGUAG